ensembl:lncRNA
UAAAUAAGACAGACAGAUAGUGAGAGAGAUAAUAUAGAUAGAUAGACAGACAGUCAGACAGACAGAUAGAUAGAUAGAUACAUAGACAGACAGACAGAUCGAUAGAUAGAUAGAUAGAUUGAUUGAUAGACAGACAGACAGAUAGACAGACAGAUAGAUAGAUAGAUAGAUAGACAGACAGAUAGAUAGAUAGACAGACAGACAGAUAAAUAGAUAGACAGAUAGAUAGAUAGAUAGACAGACAGAUAGAUAGAUUGAUAGACAGACAGACAGAUAGACAGACAGAUAGAUAGAUAGAUAGAUAGAUAGACAGACAGAUAGAUAGAUAGAUAGAUAGAUAGAUAGACAGACAGACAGACAGACAGAUAGAUAGAUUGAUAGACAGACAGAUAGAUAGAUAGAUAGAUAGAUAGACAGACAGACAGAUAGAUAGAUUGAUAGACAGACAGACAGAUAGAUAGAUAGAUAGAUAGAUAGAUAGAUAGACAGACAGACAGAUAGAUAGAUUGAUAGACAGACAGACAGAUAGAUAGAUAGAUAGAUAGAUAGAUAGAUAGACAGACAGACAGAUAGAUAGAUUGAUAGACAGACAGACAGAUAGAUAGAUAGAUAGAUAGAUAGAUUGAUUGAUAGAUAUCUAUUUAUAGAUAGGUAGAUUAAUUUCUUUCGUUGUUCAUUCAUUCA